UACAGAGGGUGCAAGCGUUGUUCGGAAUUACUGGGCGUAAAGCGCGCGCAGGCGGGUCUUUAAGUCAGGGGUGAAAUCCUGGAGCUCAACUCCAGAACUGCCUUUGAUACUGAAGAUCUUGAGUUCGGGAGAGGUGAGUGGAACUGCGAGUGUAGAGGUGAAAUUCGUAGAUAUUCGCAAGAACACCAGUGGCGAAGGCGGCUCACUGGCCCGAUACUGACGCUGAGGCACGAAAGCGUGGGGAGCAAACAGG
rnacentral:rRNA from 1 species